AUUGAACGCUGGCGGCAUGCUUUACACAUGCAAGUCGAACGGCAGCGCGGGCUUCGGCCUGGCGGCGAGUGGCGAACGGGUGAGUAAUACAUCGGAACGUGCCCAGUAGUGGGGGAUAGCUCGGCGAAAGCCGGAUUAAUACCGCAUACGACCUGAGGGUGAAAGCGGGGGAUCUUCGGACCUCGCGCUAUUGGAGCGGCCGAUGGCAGAUUGGCUAGUUGGUGGGGUAAAGGCCUACCAAGGCGACGAUCUGUAGCUGGUCUGAGAGGACGACCAGCCACACUGGGACGGGGACACGGCCCAGACUCCUACGGGAGGCAGCAGUGGGGAAUUUUGGACAAUGGGCGGAAGCCUGAUCCAGCAAUGCCGCGUGUGUGAUGAAGGCCUUCGGGUUGUAAAGCACUUUUGGCGGGAACGAAAAGGACUGUGCCAAUACCACGGUUCGAUGACGGUACCCGCAGAAUAAGCACCGGCUAACUACGUG
rnacentral:rRNA from 1 species